GGCCGUGUGGUCUAGUAGCAUGAUACCUCCUUCGGGUUCGAAACCCGGGCUUUACACAGCCCAGCAUGGAGGUGGUCCUGGGUUCAAUUCCCAGCUCGGCCC